GUUAAGUCAGAUGUGAAAGCCCGGGGCGUCAACCUCGGAAUAGCAUUUGAAACUAGGCAGACUAGAGUACUGUAGAGGGGGUAGGAAUUUCAGGUGUAGCGGUGAAAUAGCGUAGAGAUCUGAAGGAAUACCGGUGGCGAAGGCGGCCCCCUCGGACAGAUACUGACACUCAGAUGCGAAAGCGUGGGGAGCAAACAGGAUUAGAUACCCUGGUAG
rnacentral:rRNA from 1 species